rnacentral:lncRNA from 1 species
UUGCGCAAUAAUUUCAUUAAGGUGUGUUUUGAAGCAGCUUGAAAUUGAAUUUCGGAAAUAUUUCGUUAUUUUGAAUAAACUUUGAUUCUGCACUUUUUUUUAACGGUUCAAUCGCAUUCUAAGAAAUAACACAGUAACUAAGUCAAAAGCAUGCAUUUUCGAACAGCAUUUUCGUUCGGCGAUCAGCAAAAUAUGAAUUAUAUACCUUUGCAA